GAGUUUGAUCUUGGCUCAGAUUGAACGCUGGCGGCAUGCCUUACACAUGCAAGUCGAACGGCAGCAUGAUCUAGCUUGCUAGAUUGAUGGCGAGUGGCGAACGGGUGAGUAAUACAUCGGAACGUGCCCUGUAGUGGGGAGUAACUAGUCGAAGAUUAGUCUAAUACCGCAUACGACCUGAGGGUGGAAAGUAGGGGGACCGGCAAGGCCUCAUGCUAUAGGAGCGGCCGAUGUCUGAUUAGCUAGUUGGUGGGGUAAA
rnacentral:rRNA from 1 species